CGUAGUGGUCAAAGUAGUCCCAAUGGUCUGUCUUUGUUCUCGGAGGGGCCCCGCGCCAGGUCCCUGUUUGUUCUCAGCAGCAACCACACACCACACUAUUGGCAAGAUGCAAGGAACAAUACAGGGUGCUCCAGUGUAAACUGCUCCACUGCGCCAUGUUGGUAAACCAUGAAAUAAAAUCAGUCAACGGUGGCCACAGCAAACGGACCACACACCUUCUGUGGGGAGAAGGACGGCUACCGAUUCACGUUCGCGACCAGCAAAUUCUGGUGUUCAUUUAAGAUUUCCAGCAACUCCGCCUCUGCGCCAC